rnacentral:rRNA from 1 species
GUGGGGAAUUUUGGACAAUGGGCGCAAGCCUGAUCCAGCAAUGCCGCGUGCAGGAAGAAGGCCUUCGGGUUGUAAACUGCUUUUGUACGGAACGAAACGGUCCGGGUUAAUACCCUGGGCUAAUGACGGUACCGUAAGAAUAAGCACCGGCUAACUACGUGCCAGCAGCCGCGCUAAUACGUAGGGUGCAAGCGUUAAUCGGAAUUACUGGGCGUAAAGCGUGCGCAGGCGGUUUUGUAAGACAGGCGUUACAUCCCCGGGCUCAACCUGGGAAUUGCGCUUGUGACUGCAAGGCUGGAGUGCGGCAGAGGGGGAUGGAAUUCCGCGUGUAGCAGUGAAAUGCGUAGAUAUGCGGAGGAACACCGAUGGCGAAGGCAAUCCCCUGGACCUGUACUGACGCUCAUGCACGAAAGCGUGGGGAGCAAACAGGAUUAGAUACCCUUGUAGUCC